GGGCGGUUAGCUCAGCCGGUUAGAGCAUCUCGUUUACACCGAGAGGGUCCGCGGUUCGAAUCCGUGACCGCCCACCA
rnacentral:tRNA from 3 species